AGCCGCGGUAAUACGGAGGAUGCGAGCGUUAUCCGGAUUUAUUGGGUUUAAAGGGUGCGUAGGUGGUGAUUUAAGUCAGCGGUGAAAGUUUGUGGCUCAACCAUAAAAUUGCCGUUGAAACUGGGUUACUUGAGUGUGUUUGAGGUAGGCGGAAUGCGUGGUGUAGCGGUGAAAUGCAUAGAUAUCACGCAGAACUCCGAUUGCGAAGGCAGCUUACUAAACCAUAACUGACACUGAAGCACGAAAGCGUGGGGAUCAAACAGGAUUAGAUACCCUGGUAGUCCACGCAGUAAACGAUGAUUACUAGGAGUUUGCGAUACAAUGUAAGCUCUACAGCGAAAGCGUUAAGUAAUCCACCUGGGGAGUACGCCGGCAACGGUGAAACUCAAAGGAAUUGACGGGGGCCCGCACAAGCGGAGGAACAUGUGGUUUAAUUCGAUGAUACGCGAGGAACCUUACCCGGGCUUGAACUGCAGGCGAACGAUUCAGAGAUGAUGAGGCCCUUCGGGGCGCCUGUGGAGGUGCUGCAUGGUUGUCGUCAGCUCGUGCCGUGAGGUGUCGGCUUAAGUGCCAUAACGAGCGCAACCCUUAUCACUAGUUACUAACAGGUGAAGCUGAGGACUCUGGUGAGACUGCCAGCGUAAGCUGUGAGGAAGGUGGGGAUGACGUCAAAUCAGCACGGCCCUUACAUCCGGGGCGACACACGUGUUACAAUGGCAUGGACAAAGGGCAGCUACCUGGUGACAGGAUGCUAAUCUCCAAACCAUGUCUCAGUUCGGAUCGGAGUCUGCAACUCGACUCCGUGAAGCUGGAUUCGCUAGUAAUCGCGCAUCAGCCAUGGCGCGGUGAAUACGUUCCCGGGCCUUGUACACACCGCCCGUCAAGCCAUGGGAGCCGGGGGUACCUGAAGUGCGUAACCGCGAGGAUCGCCCUAGGGUAAAACUGGUGACUGGGGCUAAGUCGUAACAAGGUAGCCGUACCGGAAGGUGCGGCUG
rnacentral:rRNA from 1 species